UCCGGUAGCUACAGCGGCAGGGCCACACCCGAUCCCAUCUCGAACUCGGAAGUUAAGCCUGCCUGCGCCGAUGGUACUGCACGGGUCCCUGUGUGGGAGAGUAGGACGCUGCCGGGA
rnacentral:rRNA from 1 species